rnacentral:lncRNA from 1 species
ACCCGACGACGCCCCAGCCGCCGUCCGAGCUGCCUCCCGGCGCGGCCCCAGCCGCCACCCCAGCCCCCGGCCGGCGCCGCCCCAGUCCCCGCCCAGCGCCGCCGAAGCCUCCAUCCCUAUUUUCAAUCUCUUCACCAUCGUCGAACGAUAUCUAUGGGUGGUUGAAAAAGGAAAAUAUGUGCCGAAUACUACAUCGAUUUUACUAAUCGGCCCAAAAGUUUCCGGAAAAGGUGCUCUUGUUAACAAAAUUUCUCGAGUUCUUGAAAAAGACUUAUUCACAUCAGAAAGAGCACAAGUGUCAUAUAUAUAUAUAUAUAUAUAUAUAUAUAUAUAUAUAUAUAUAUAUAUAUAUAUAUAUAUAUAUAAAUCGGUCUAUUUAUUCGGUUUUUUGUAUUACAUAUAUUAUAUUUUAACUAAUUUAUCAUUAGUGAUUUUAAGGGGUUGUUUUGCUUAUACAUAGGUAACUCUUCUACUUAAGAUGGAACUUUUUUUUUUCGCUUUAAUCAUCUUGAUUCAAUGGUGUUAGGGUUUGUGGGGAAGGUUCCUAUUUGAUAAUGAUAUUGUGAAAAAGACUAUUAAUUCUUAUAAAUUAAUUUUUUUCUUGAUCAGAUUAAUACAGUACCCUCGUCGGCCUUGUUGGUGGUGAUGUUACUCAUCUUGCAUUUUUUCCUGGAUAUAGUAGUGACUUACGUUUUAAAUAGUGGAUUUUUGAAUAGUGAAUUUAUGUUUUUUUUUGCGGAUUUUUGAAUAGUGAAUUUAUGUUUUUUUAGCUGUGUUAGUAGUGGAUUUACGUAUGUUUUUAGUGGAUUUCGAUAACUUUGUUGUUGAUUAUGUUAUUAUUAAAGUGAAUUACGUUAAUUUUUCGUAAUAUA